UACGUAGGGGCGCAAGCGUUAUCCGGAAUUAUUGGGCGUAAAGAGCUCGUAGGCGGUUUGUCGCGUCUGCCGUGAAAGUCCGGGGCUCAACUCCGGAUCUGCGGUGGGUACGGGCAGACUAGAGUGAUGUAGGGGAGACUGGAAUUCCUGGUGUAGCGGUGAAAUGCGCAGAUAUCAGGAGGAACACCGGUGGCGAGGGCGGGUCUCUGGGCAACAACUGACGCUGAGGAGCGAAAGCGUGGGGAGCGAACAGG
rnacentral:rRNA from 1 species